rnacentral:rRNA from 1 species
AACGAACGCUGGCGGCAGGCUUAACACAUGCAAGUCGAGCGCAUCCUUCGGGGUGAUCGGCGGACGGGUGAGUAACGCGUGGGAACGUUCCCUCUUCUACGGAAUAGCCUCGGGAAACUGAGAGUAAUGCCGUAUACGCCCGCAAGGGGAAAGAUUUAUCGGACGAGGAUCUGCCCGCGUGGGAUUAGGUCGUUGGUGGGGUAACGGCCUACCAAGCCGACGAUCAAUAGCUUGGUUGUGAGGAAGGUCACCCACUCUUGGACUGAGACACGGCCCAGACUCCUACGGGAGGCAGCAGUGGGGAAUCGUGGAAAAUCGGGGCAAUGCUGAUCCAGCCAUGACGGGUGAUCGCUGAAGGCCUUAGGGUUGUAAAGAUCUUGCAGCUGGGAAGAUAAUGACGGUACCAGCAGAAGAAGCCACGGCUAACUACGUG